AGCAGCCGCGGUAAUUCCAGCUCCAAUAGCGUAUAUUAAAGUUGUUGCAGUUAAAAAGCUCGUAGUUGAAUUUCGGGAUCAAUAUAUCGGUCGUGCCUUGGUACGUACUGGUAUCAUUGGUUUCUCCUUUCUGACGAACCAUGAUGUCAUUAAUUUGGUGUUAUGGGAAGUUAGGACUGUUACUUUGAAAAAAUUAGAGUGUUUAAAGCAGGCUUUAGCUUGAAUACAUUAGCAUGGAAUAAUGAAAUAGGACGUUCGAACCUAUUUUGUUGGUUUCUAGGAUCAACGUAAUGAUUAAUAGGGAUAGUUGGGGGCAUUAGUAUUCAAUUGUCAGAGGUGAAAUUCUUGGAUUUAUUGAAGACUAACUACUGCAAAAGCAUUUGCCAAGGAUGUUUUCAUUAAUCAAGAACGAAAGUUAGGGGAUCGAAGACGAUCAGAUACCGUCGUAGUCUCAACCAUAAACUAUGCCGACUACGGGAUACGGACGAAGUUAACUUUUAUUAAUGACGUCGUUCGGCAC
rnacentral:rRNA from 1 species